UCUGCCUCGGAUGUGCAGAUAUGGCUGCUGUGUCACAUGUGCAUCAGUAGGUGGCAGAGAGGAGAGAGGCUAUGUCUAAGCUCAGUGUCCUGACCUGUGACCAUCUGAAUGAUUAGUAGCCUAAUGAC